rnacentral:rRNA from 1 species
AUGAUUCCUAUCGAGGUUCCUGUCUUCCACCGCGCCACCUCGAUCAAGCUGGACGUGCACAACCUAUAUCUAACACCGCCGGCCCAUGGACUUGAGUUCCCUGUGCUGGAGAGGCUGUCCGUUGCUGGCUUCCGCUUCGACAUGGAUGAGCUUGUCCAGCGCUGCCCUCACCUGCGCGUACUAGAGGUGGGCAGCGGCGGGGGUCUCUAUAAGAUCAAAGUCCACUCACCGACCAUCGAGGAGCUUGUCGUGGACUACGAAUGUUGGGUGAACGGCAUCGACAUCAUGGCACCUGUGCUUAAGAAGUUCGAGCUGAGGACCUCGAUGGGCUCGGAUUUCAGCGUGUCGUUCUACGCGCCGAUGGUGGAGAAUCUCUGGUGGGACGUUUCUUGCCCCAAGCUGAAUGUCGGGAUUGAUGUCUGGCGCUUGCGCGACCUGACUCUGUGGAAGGAGGAGAGCGGCAAUACCCUAUGGUUGUUUAUAGAUGCUCCAACGGUAUAUGCACCAGUUGCGCAGCGGAACUUCAGUCAAGAGAUAGCAUCACUUCCCAACUUUUCUGUUCUGCAGCUAUGUCUGGUAACACGGGGGCAUAUUUUUGGGCCCCUUGUGUUGAGUCUACUUGGGAUCUGCACCGUAAUACAUAAGCUUAAGGUGGCCAUAGACAACGACAAGUGCAGAGAAGUAUGCCCAUCAAAUUGUCCUUGUGAGCAAUCCCAAAACUGGAGAAGCCAAACUAUCUCGUUGCCAGCUCUUGAAGAAGUAGAAAUAAAAGGUUUCGAAGGAAAUGGCGACGAAAUUGAUUUCAUGAAACUUCUGUUCAGAUGCACGCCUCUGAUGACAACAAUGACCGUGACACUGGCCCCUGAGGUUUUACCAACGAGCAGAGGAUGCGAGAAAACCUACAGAAUUUUUAGGGAAAACCCAUCUGUGAAAUGCCGUGUUUAUCGCAGCGGUGGGGAGGAGGUUCUGUGCCCAUGA